rnacentral:rRNA from 1 species
UACGGAGGGAGCUAGCGUUGUUCGGAAUUACUGGGCGUAAAGCGCGCGCAGGCGGUCCUUUAAGUCUGAUGUGAAAGCCCUCGGCUCAACCGAGGAGGGUCAUUGGAAACUGGAGGACUUGAGUGCAGAAGAGGAAAGUGGAAUUCCAAGUGUAGCGGUGAAAUGCGUAGAGAUUUGGAGGAACACCAGUGGCGAAGGCGACUUUCUGGUCUGUAACUGACACUGAGGCGCGAAAGCGUGGGGAGCGAACAGG